UUUCCAAACGUUUUUGCUGUAAAUUCUGUCCACCUUAGUGGUAGCUUCUGUGGGGCUUUCCACUGCGCAAGUGGGCAGGGUGGUUAAGUGUGGGCCCAGUUGAAAUUGGAAGACCCCUCUUGCCAUCCAGAUCCUAUAAAACAUGGACAAGGUCCAGCAGGAGUAUAGGCGAUCAAUCAACUGUGAGAAGAUCAGUCUGAACCCAGCACCAGUUCUGAAAUUUGAAAGAUGAAAUCCACAGUCUUGGUCAUCCAACUUGUUCUUCUUGGAGCCUUAUGUUCAGUGAUAUUCUGCGAGAACAGCCAUGGGCCGAGUCUAUGUUGCUUUGAUUUCUACCCGAAGAGGCUUCCCAUUAAGGCUCUGGCCACUUAUAAGAACACAAGCUCUGAGUGCCUCGUGAAUGCUGUCAUAUUUAUCACAAGAGCCGGUUUAGAAAUUUGCGUCGAAGCUAAACCUUCUUGGGUCAAGAAACAUGUUAAAAUCCUUGAUAACCUUUCAAAAGUACAAAUUGAUAAGUCUCUUAGAAAAUAAACUGUUUAAAUCUAUCACUCAUAGUAUCACUGCAAUCUCAGAUUUUUCUGAAAUAAGAUUUAAGGUAUAAAGCAUGUGUGGUUUCCAAAAUUUU